GAGGAGAAGAAUCAUAGUCAAAGAAGAAUCAAAGAGGUUGUCCAAGUGAGAUGAGCCAGUGUCAAACCAUAUCUCAAAUUCCUGGAGAUGGCAGCUUUGAAAAGACCUUGGAGAUGCCUACACCUGCACCAGCCCCGGUGGACCCAGUUCCUGAUCCACAACCUGAUCCACAACCAACCAUGGCACCAAAGAAAAGAUACGUAAGGGAGAACAUUUUGCAGGAGAGAGGAGGGGAGUUGCAGGGCUGCUGAUGUCGGUGGAGGCCUUGAUAACAUCUCAUUUCAUUCGAAAAUACUCUGAAACCCUGCAUAACAUCUCUGCGAAAACAACUUCUGAAUCUUGAUUGCAUUAAAGUAGCCAUAAGCAACAUACCAGCCAAUUUGAUUAAGAAAUAAAGGGGCAACGUGAUUGUUGUUAGCAAGCAUAAGUGGUUCCUAGUACAGAUUAUUUCAGCAGGAUGUACAAAAUAAUUCUGAAUAAAUAACUUUGCAUAAUGAGAACUCUUAGUUGGCCUCUAAUCAAAUUGUUCACUAUUUCUGAUACUGUAAUUAACAGAGCACUCUGGUAAUAUAAUAAAUAUUCUUUUUGGUCUAACAUUCAUUUGGGCGGCGGGUGCC